UUCAUGAAAAGUAACUAACCCGAAUAAUUGGUGGAGAAUACGGUACAGUUUAGAAGUGAAUUGAAGCAAGGAGGAGGAAGGAAGAAACCUAUGUUGAUCUGUGUGGAGGAAGCAGCGGUGUAGCAGAUGGAGGAGAGUGAAGUGCUGCAGGAACUUCACAACCUAACGCACAUAGAAUCAGAAGAAUCACUGAACCGCAUCCUCUGCACCCUCUGGUCUACGCGCAACACCGGUCUUCCCCUCUCCGACAAGACUCGCUUCCAAUCCCUCCUCCGCCUCUCUUCACUCUCUCAACUGGACCCCGUCUUGGCGUGUCUCCGCUCCCUCCUCAGAAAAUGCGCGCGCUACAACCUCGCUCGCCCCGACCACCACCACGACGUCUUGAAGCUCUUUCCUCCCGACCUUCCACAACAACUGCGAACCAAUCUCCUCUCCUCGUUGAGGAAAAACUGUGAUCAAUGGAAGGAGGACGCGUCGCUGCAAUUCAAGGGUACGGCGAAUGUUUCUCCUUCUCUGCUCUGGCCGCGGCAUGACCCCGGUUCUGUUGCCCCGCUCAAUCGUGCAGAUUCCGAAACGGCGUCGCCCAGCUUCCAGUGUGAUGCUGUUGCUUCUUGUGAUGACUUGGAAAGCCUUCCUUGCCUCAAAUCAAUGACGUGGACCAUGGAGAACCGUGGAACAUCAUCGCCUGCGAAUAGAGUGGCUAUAAUCAGCCUCAAGCUGCAUGAUUACAGCAAAUCUCCAUCAGGUGAAACAGAGGUGAAGUUUUUUCUCACAAGGGACACUCUUGAAGCUAUGCUGAGAUCCUUGACAUACAUCAGGGAACAACUGAAUACUUUGCAGACACCACCGAUGUUAAUCGGAUCAAGGAGUAUCUGGGUGAAAAAAAAGAAAAAAGAAUGGAUUUUUGGAAAGUGGGGUUCCUUUACUUUCUUUGGGCUUCUUCUGUUCUUGCCAUUGGGGCUGUAGAGCUGGGUCGACAUCAACCUACUGAGAGAAUUUCAGAUGGGGUUCUUCAAGAGUGUGUGUUCUUGCCAUUUGGCCUGAGAUACAUCGACCCUUUUGCGCGUUUCGUGUCCUUGCUCGGUUCUGGGCGAAUUGAUAUGCGAAUUGAAGAUCGCGACUUAGGGUUUUGAUCUGGGGCUUUUCCUGGAUCUUUUGUGUUGUCUUGGUUGCAGGUUUGAAUGGAGGCAGCGCGUAGAGAUUGGAGAGGUUGGGGUUUUAGGGUUCUUCGUGAUUCUGGGUUGGUAAUGAAGGUGCGACGUGAUGGUGAAGAAGAUGAUUUUGCCGUUGCGAGUUGGGUUGCAGGUGAACUGCGCGAGGAGGUGAUGGUUGUGUGAGGUGAUGGUGGCACUGUGCUAGGGUUUGGUGGUGGCGAGACUGUGGUGAUGGCAGCGCUCGUGGUUCAUGGUGGAGCGAUGGGGUUGCUUGCGAUUCUGGGUGUUUAUGGUGGAUGCUGCGUUGCUCGCGACAUUGGCGACAAGAGAAGGAUAGGCAAUGGUGUGAUUCAUUGUUGGGUGGUGGCGCGUGAUGGAGGAUGGUUGUCCAACGAGAUGAGCAUGGUGGUUGGCCGUGGCGCGAGGAUGGUGGGAAUGACACUGUUGCGGUUGAGACUUCUUCCGGGCCACCAAACAAGAAACAAAAGCUGUAGCUGGUCUUUCCAGAAAUUAAUGCUGUAGUUCCUUAGUCACAAUACAUAGUAAUAUUAUUAGGAGAAAUAUCUCAUCUGUUUAAAACAUCGACAGUAAAAAUAGAGAGCCAGUGAAAGAAAUGUUAACUAAGACAUGUUGUAAUGUCAUUUGCCUUCUUAAUAUAUUGGAUUCCGUAA